GCUUGCGGAUGCCUUUAAACGGGUGUCGGAAGCGGAUGGCAUCUUUACUUUGAACAAAUUUGAGUGCUCAAAGCAGGCCUGUGCGCCUGAAAAUUAUUGCAUGGAAUAAUGAAAUAGGACUUCGGUUCUAUUUUGUUGGUUUUCGGAUCCGAAGUAAUGGUUAAGAGGGACAGAUGGGGGCCUUUGUACGAAAUUCUGGGAUCGCCGCCAGACAAACUACAGCGAAAGCAUUUGCUAAGAAUGUCUUCAUUGAUCAGGAGCGAAAGUCAGAGUUUCGAAGACGAUCAGAUACCGUCGUAGUUGUGACCAUAAACGAUGCCAACUGACGAUCCGCGUUGGUUUUAUAAUUGACAUCGCGGGCAGUCCCCGGGAAACCUUUAAGUCUUUGGGCUCCGGGGGGGUAUGGUUGCAAAGCUGAGACUUAAGGGAAAUGACGGAAGGGCACCACUAGGAGUAGAGCCUGCAGUUUAAUUCGACUCAACACGGGAAAACUCACCCGGCCCGGACACUGUGAGGAUUGAUGGAUUGAUAUCCCUUUCUUGAUUCGGUGGGCGGUGGUGCAUGGCAGUUCUUAGUUGGUGGAGCGAUUUGUCUGGUUAAUUCCGAUAACGAACGAGACUUUAACCUACUAAAUAGUAGACUGGUCCUCUGUGCUCGUUUAGGGUACGACUUCUAUUGCUUCUUUAUGGAGUAGUGUAAUCGUGAUCCGGCGGGUGAGGAUCGGGGCUUGCAAUUAUUCCCCGUGAACGAGGAAUUCCUAAUAAGUGCAAGUCAUAAGCUUGCGCUAAUCACGUCGUUGCCCUUUGUACACACCGCCCGUCGCUACUAUCGACUGAAUGGUUUAGUGAGGUCGUUGUAGUGGCUUUGCAGCUCGACUGAUGCUGAGAUGACCAGAAUACUCUAGAAUCUUCUCAUGUAAAAACUAUAAAUAUACUAACGUUUUCCCUAUUGUGCUUCUUACUUCCAUCUAACCUUUUUAUUUGGAAUAUAA
rnacentral:ncRNA from 1 species